AGUGAACGCUGGCGGUAGGCCUAACACAUGCAAGUCGAACGGCAGCACAGUAAGAGCUUGCUCUUACGGGUGGCGAGUGGCGGACGGGUGAGGAAUACAUCGGAAUCUACUUUUUCGUGGGGGAUAACGUAGGGAAACUUACGCUAAUACCGCAUACGACCUACGGGUGAAAGCAGGGGAUCUUCGGACCUUGCGCGAUUGAAUGAGCCGAUGUCGGAUUAGCUAGUUGGCGGGGUAAAGGGCCACCAAGGGGGCGAUCCGUAGCGGGUCUGAGAGGAUGAUCGGACACACUGGGACUGAGACACGGUCCAGACUCCUACGGUAGGCAGCAGUGGGGAAUAUUGGACAAUGGGCGCAAGCCUGAUCCAGCCAUACCGCGUGGGUGAAGAAGGCCUUCGGGUUGUAAAGCCCUUUUGUUGGGAAAGAAAAGCAGCAGGUUAAUACCCCGCUGUUCUGACGGUACCCAAAGAAUAAGCACCGGCUAACUUCGUG
rnacentral:rRNA from 1 species